rnacentral:rRNA from 1 species
GUCCACGCCGUAAACGAUGAGAGCUAGGUGUCGUGGGUGUUGACCCCCGCGGUGCCGCAGCUAACGCAUUAAGCUCUCCGCCUGGGAAGUACGGUCGCAAGAUUAAAACUCAAAGGAAUUGACGGGGGCCCGCACAAGCGGUGGAGCAUGUGGUUUAAUUCGACGCAACGCGCAGAACCUUACCCAGACUUGACAUCUUAGAAAGUCGGCCCAAAAGUCGACGUGCUCGCAAGAGAAUCUAAAAGACAGGUGCUGCAUGGCUGUCGU